UACAGAGGGUGCGAGCGUUAAUCGGAUUUACUGGGCGUAAAGCGUGCGUAGGCGGCAUUUUAAGUCGGAUGUGAAAUCCCCGAGCUUAACUUGGGAAUUGCAUUCGAUAUUGGGAAGCUAGAGUAUGGGAGAGGAUGGUAGAAUUCCAGGUGUAGCGGUGAAAUGCGUAGAGAUCUGGAGGAAUACCGAUGGCGAAGGCAGCCAUCUGGCCUAAUACUGACGCUGAGGUACGAAAGCAUGGGGGGAGCAAACAGGAUUAGAUACCCUGGUAGUCCAUGCCGUAAACGAUGUCUACUAGCCGUUGGGGCCCUUGAGACUUUAGUGGCGCAGCUAACGCGAUAAGUAGACCGCCUGGGGAGUACGGUCGCAAGACUAAAACUC
rnacentral:rRNA from 1 species